AACAAAAAGAUGAGCUUCCGGUUCUAGCCUAUAAAGCCCCGAUACGGGGUUUUUUUGUGCGUUUAUUUUGACUGUUCGGCCUGUGCCGGGCAAUUUUAAAGCGGGCUGUCAGCCCUUUUUUU
rfam:Chelonobacter oris strain 1662 contig000013, whole genome shotgun sequence.